AGCGAACGCUGGCGGCAGGCCUAACACAUGCAAGUCGAACGAACCUUUCGGGGUUAGUGGCGGACGGGUGAGUAACACGUGGGAACGUGCCUUUAGGUUCGGAAUAACUCAGGGAAACUUGUGCUAAUACCGAAUGUGCCCUUCGGGGGAAAGAUUUAUCGCCUUUAGAGCGGCCCGCGUCUGAUUAGCUAGUUGGUUGAGGUAAUGGCUCACCAAGGCGACGUUCAGUAGCUGGUCUGAGAGGAUGAUCAGCCACAUUGGGACUGAGACACGGCCCAAACUCCUACGGGAGGCAGCAGUGGGGAAUCUUGCGCAAUGGGCGAAAGCCUGACGCAGCCAUGCCGCGGGAAUGAUGAAGGUCUUAGGAUUGUAAAAUUCUUUCACCGGGGACGAUAAUGACGGUACCCGGAGAAGAAGCCCCGGCUAACUUCGU
rnacentral:rRNA from 1 species